rnacentral:rRNA from 1 species
UACAGAGGUGUCGAGCGUUGUUCGGAUUUACUGGGCGUAAAGGGUGCGUAGGCGGUUCCGUGUGUCGGAUGUGAAAUCCUGCCGCUCAACGGCAGAACGGCAUCCGAAACUACGGUGCUUGAGUUCGGGAGAGGAAGGCGGAAUUCCAGGUGUAGCGGUGAAAUGCGUAGAUAUCUGGAGGAACACCCGUGGCGAAGGCGGCCUUCUGGACCGAUACUGACGCUGAGGCACGAAGGCCGGGGGAGCAAACAGGAUUAGAUACCCUGGUAGUCCCGGCAGUAAACGGUGUGCACUUGGUGUGGGGGGAGUUACUCCCUUCCGUGCCGUAGCUAACGCGUUAAGUGCACCGCCUGGGGAGUACGGUCGCAAGACUA